UAAAGCAAACAAAAUGCUCCAUGAGCUAUAUAAGGACCGUGAUUACAGGAGAAUUGUGUGAAAAUAUUGUAGUGAAACCGAAAACUUAUUGAUCGUUUCAAAGAUGGCAAAGCUUUCUGCAUUCUUUUAUCUCCUUCUCGCGAUCUUUAUCGUUGUGUCAGUUGAGAAGAAGGUGUCCAAGGUGGAUGCAAAGUGUAUUAACAAAUCUUUGGGGGACUGCCCGAGCCUUGAAGAUUGCCAAUUCCAAUGCACAACGAUAUACCCGUCUUCCAAGGGAUUUUGUGACGGAAUAUAUCCCUUUAAGCAAUGUUUUUGCGUACUUUGUGAUUGAUGGAAUGAUACCUGUAAAUGAAACUGGGCCUUAUGUCCUCGUUUUAUAACUUUAAUAAAUAAAUAAAUAAGAGGACCAUGUUACUUUGUA